GCGCAGCAGUCGCGAAUCCUUUACAAUGUCUUCACGGACGAUAGGGGAAUCCUGAGUGCUCUAGCAUUGCUAGAGCUUUUGCUUACUGGAAAAAGGUAGGCGAAUAAGUGGUGGGUAAGACGGGUGCCAGCCGCCGCGGUAAUACCCGCGCCACAAGUGGUGACCACGUUUAUUGGGUCUAAAGCGUUCGUAGCCGGCCUGAUAAAUUCUCGGUGAAAUCCUGUGUAAAUCAUAGGGCGUGCCGGGAAGACUGUCAAGCUAGGAACCGGGAGAGGCUGAGGGUACUCCAGGAGUAGGGGUUAAAUGCCGUUAUGGUUUAACCCUACGGUUUAACAAUCCUGUAAUUCUUGGAGGACCACCGGUGGCGAAGGCGCUCAGCUGGAACGGCUUCGACGGUGAGGGACGAAAGCCAGGGGAGCGAACGGGAUUAGAUACCCGCGUAGUCCCUGACUGCCAAGGCACACA
rnacentral:rRNA from 1 species